rnacentral:rRNA from 1 species
UACAGAGGUCUCAAGCGUUGUUCGGAUUCAUUGGGCGUAAAGGGCGCGUAGGCGGCUUACCAAGUCAGGGGUGAAAUUUUGCGGCUUAACCGUAACAGUGCCUUUGAUACUGGUAGGCUCGAGGGAGACAGGGGUCCGCGGAACUUCUGGUGGAGCGGUGAAAUGCGUUGAUAUCAGAAGGAACGCCGGUGGCGAAAGCGGCGGACUGGAUCUUUUCUGACGCUGAGGCGCGAAAGCUAGGGGAGCAAACGGG